CUGUAUUCAAGUUGAAGAUAGGACACGUUAACCUAAAUAGAUGUUUGGCUUCAAUUAAAACUCUUGGAAAAAGCUUUCGUACUGUGGGGUAGAUCCUCCAAGGCCUACUCUUCCCAUAGCAGCAAACAAAGCCACAAACCUGGAGGAACUCACCUGGACCAGACUUUCAUACUCCUACAGGUGCACAGAGAAGCUGAGCAGGUCUGGAGAGGGCAUCUGGAUGACAAAGCCCUACCAGGAAGAGAACACCAUUGCUUAUCCCCAGUCCUGAGCACAUCAAGUAUACCCAGAACACCUAGAACAGCAGCCAAUACAGUUCAGCAAGAUUUUCGAAAGAACUUCAUAUCUUCCGGGGAAGAUGCUGUGCCUUCAGUAAGAAUUUUCUAGCAGAAUGUACUGCAACUGACAGCAGGAUUACAUCUAACCUCAGGAUGUUGCUAUGGUAUUGUACAAGUUUUUUAUUUAUUUAUUUUAAGUGCUAGAAAGUCAAACUACUCAGAGAAAGAGUCAAAAGUUGAUCUGCUGGGAGAAGAGACUGGAAAAAAAAUAUUCUUUGUUAACUGGUUUAGGGGCCAGUUGUGCUUGAGUUUAUCCAGUCUGGUAUUAUUUUGCUAUAUAAUUUGAUGACUUAUUAAUUCUAGAAAUCUCAGCUUGCUAAGGUAGAAAAGAUUUACAACUCUUCUGCUUAAACAGAAACAGCUCCUCUUGAUCCGUGAUUGCUGUUCAGGUGUAGGGAAAGCCAAAGGCAGAUAACCAGUUCUAAGUCACCCAAAAAAGGGCAACGGUCACAAACCAGCUAAAGAAAGAAAGAUUUCCUUACCUAUCCCAAGGAUCCAAACUUGAUGAACAAAACAGAGGGAGGGCUCUCCAGGUAGAGGUCCUUCCCUUGUAGCAGUCAGAACUUAAAUGAGGCUUGGAGAGGGGAGAAACCUGGUUUUAUGUCUUCCAGUCACACAGAUGAGUUGCUUUCACCUGUACU